GACAGAGGUGCCGAGCGUUAGGCGGAAUCACUGGGCUUAAAGCGUGUGUAGGCGGACCGUUAAGUGUCUUGUGAAAUCCCACGGCUCAACCGUGGAACGGCUGGGCAUACUGGCGGUCUUGAGAGGCCUAGGGGCGAGCGGAACAGGCGGUGGAGCGGUGAAAUGCGUAGAUAUCGCCUGGAACGCCGACGGUGAAAACAGCUCGCUGGGGGCCUUCUGACGCUGAGACGACGAAAGCCAGGGGAGCGAACGGG
rnacentral:rRNA from 1 species